UACAGAGGUCCCGAGCGUUGUUCGGAUUCAUUGGGCGUAAAGGGUGCGUAGGCGGUCUGCCAAGUUUGAUGUGAAAUCCCGGGGCUCAACCCUGGAAUUGCAUUGAAUACUGGCGGACUAGAGUACCGGAGAGGAAACUGGAAUUUACGGUGUAGCAGUGAAAUGCGUAGAGAUCGUAAGGAAGACCAGUGGCGAAGGCGAGUUUCUGGACGGUAACUGACGCUGAGGCACGAAGGCCAGGGGAGCAAACGGG
rnacentral:rRNA from 1 species